rnacentral:rRNA from 1 species
CCUACGGGAGGCAGCAGUGGGGAAUAUUGGGCAAUGGGCGCAAGCCUGACCCAGCAACGCCGCGUGAAGGAAGAAGGCUUUCGGGUUGUAAACUUCUUUUAAGAGGGAAGAGCAGAAGACGGUACCUCUUGAAUAAGCCACGGCUAACUACGUGCCAGCAGCCGCGGUAAUACGUAGGUGGCAAGCGUUGUCCGGAUUUACUGGGUGGAAAGGGCGUGCAGCCGGGAAGACAAGUCAGAGGUGAAAUCCCGCGGCUCAACCGGGGAACUGCAUUUGAAACUGUUUUUCUUGAGUACCGGAGAGGUCAUCGGAAUUCCUGGUGUAGCGGUGAAAUGCGGAGAUAUAAGGAAGAACACCAGGGGCGAAGGCGGAUGACUGGACGGCAACUGACGGUGAGGCGCGAAAGCGUGGGGAGCAAACAGGAUUAGAUACCCUGGUAGUC